AGGCAACUGAGGAAGCUCAACAUCUAAAAAAGUUGAUACAAGACUAUAUUGCUUCUUUCGUCAAAGUAGGAGAUAAGGAAAAAGAAUUGGGACGCACUCCCAUUGAACCAGAGGUUUUCAAAAAGACUCAUGUCAGGAAGAAAGAAAAUGAGUUGAAUCCGAAUGUGUGGGUGGAGGAAAGGGUCGAACGAACUUUUAAUGACUUUCAUAAGUACGUCACUGAGAAUCUAGAUAGUUCGGUUCAAUUGACACCUGAACUGUCCACUCAGAUUUGGAAAGAAAAAGUGGUAGGGGGGACACACAAGGGUAGAUGCUAUGGUCUAGGCUCUCGCAAUGAUGUUAGACGCCUUCAGUCAGGCUUAGAAGGUAUUGGAUCAUCACGUCAAGCUGAGGCACUUGACGGUGUUCAGA